UUAAGAAUAAGCUAAAUAUAAGCUUUUGGGCUCAUACCUCAAAUAUAAAGAUAUCCCUUUUUCUUAAUA
rnacentral:tRNA from 1 species